rnacentral:rRNA from 1 species
UAUGUGAUCGUCUCUCGCAUAUCAAUAAGCGGAGGAAAAGAAACUAACAAGGAUUCCCCUAGUAACGGCGAGUGAAGCGGGAAGAGCUCAAAUUUGAAAUCUUAAAGGGUUUCCCUUUACGAAUUGUAGUUUAAAGAAGUGUUUUCUGUUGAGGUUUUGGUAAAAGUUCUUUGGAAUAGGACAUCAUAGAGGGUGAGAAUCCCGUAUUUGACCUUUACUUUCAACUUUGUGAUACACUUUCAAAGAGUCGGAUUGUUUGGGAAUGCAGUCCAAAAUGGGUGGUAAAUUUCAUCUAAAGCUAAAUAUUGGCGAGAGACCGAUAGCGAACAAGUACCGUGAGGGAAAGAUGAAAAGAACUUUGAAAAGAGAGUUAAACAGUACGUGAAAUUGUCAAAAGGGAAGCGUCUGACACCAGUGUUGUUUUUCUGAAAAUCAAUUAAAGAACUGUUUAUGCUAAGCUGUUUAGACUUUAUCAGCUAAUCUGUUUAGUUUUGAGCUUUUCUUUAAUGCACUUUUCAGUUAACAAGUCAACAUCAGUUUCUUUUGCUGUAAAAAAGCUUGAGGAAGGUGGCUUGAGAUUCGUCUUAAGUGUUUAUAGCCUCUUGCCUAUGCAGUCGGAGAGAUUGAGGUCUGCAGCGUAGAUCCUUCGGGGCUAAAUGCAUUUGUGCUAAGUUAUAGCAUUUUCAUAGACAACUUGUUGACUAUGAUUUAGUCUUGUAGCUUACUCGCUUAUGCUAUUUUACCUACGCUUAGGAUGUUGAGCGCAUGUCUCUCUCU